rnacentral:lncRNA from 1 species
ACUACACCGAUACCCUCUCCUAAUUUAUUGAUCUCUCACUUUCUCACUCACUUGUGCCUCCUUCAGUAAGUAAUCUUUUUGAAUCUAGUCUAGUCUAGCUUUACUGUUCUACCAUUUACACCAUCUUUCUUUUUGCUACAUCAUUCUCAUCUCUGACUCUUUCCUUUAUUCCUUCUUCUCUCUUUCUCUCUCUCUCUCUCACUUUAGUCUCUCUUCUGUUAUUUUACACUUCACUGUUAUGUCCUCCCUUCUCUAUGGAGUAUGCAUCAGUGAUGUGGUUGAUUACAUUAAAUCAUUGUGUGAUAACUAUACAUUCAGUAUAUGGCACAUUUAGUUCUCAGAUUUAGACAAGUAUGCAAAAAUGUAUGUCACUGGCUAUUGGCUAUUAAUCACUGCAUGAUUUAUUUAUUGAAGUACUAUUAUGUUGCUGGUAUAAUGAAGAUGGUCUCCAGUAAGUAUACCUCUCAAUGCACCACCAAGCUCAGGAUUUGAGAAGUCUUGCAUUCAAUCAAAUUAAAGACAUCAAUAUCAGGAGGACGUUGUGCAUGUAUAACAAUCCAUUAAUUUUUGUUUUUGAUUUUUCAUCACGUUUUAAUAUAAUGCUCAGUUGUACCAAUCUA